CCCGCUGAACUUAAGCAUAUCAAUAAGCGGAGGAAAAGAAACCAACAGGGAUUACCCUAGUAACGGCGAGUGAAGCGGUAACAGCUCAAAUUUAAAAUCUGGCCUUCACGGGUCCGAGUUGUAAUUUGUAGAGGAUGUUUCGGACAAGGCUGUGGUUUAAGUUUCUUGGAACAGAACGUCACAGAGGGUGAGAAUCCCGUCUAGAACCGAUGGCCGCGUCCAUGUGAAACACCUUCGACGAGUCGAGUUGUUUGGGAAUGCAGCUCAAAAUGGGUGGUAAAUUUCAUCUAAAGCUAAAUAUUGGCCAGAGACCGAUAGCGCACAAGUAGAGUGAUCGAAAGAUGAAAAGUACUUUGAAAAGAGGGUUAAACAGCACGUGAAAUUGUUGAAGGGGAAGCGCUUAUGACCAGACUUGCGCUGGGGCGAUCAUCUGGCGUUCUCGCCGGUGCACUCGCCCCAGUUCAGGCCAGCGUCGGUUCGGGGGGGUGGACAAAGGCGUUGGGUACGUGGCUCCUCCGGGAGUGUUAUAGCCCUUCGCGUCAUGCUCCCUCCUGGACCGAGGCUCGCGCUCUGCAAGGACGCUGGCAUAAUGGUCAUCAGCGACCCGUCUUGAAACACGG
rnacentral:rRNA from 1 species